CCUACGGGAUGCAGCAGUAGGGAAUCUUCCACAAUGGGCGAAAGCCUGAUGGAGCAACGCCGCGUGGGUGAAGAAGGUCUUCGGAUCGUAAAACCCUGUUGUUAGAGAAGAAAGUGCGUGAGAGUAACUGUUCACGUUUCGACGGUAUCUAACCAGACAGCCACGGCUAACUACGUCCCAGCAGCCGCGGUAAUACGUAGGUGGCAAGCGUUAUCCGGAUUUAUUGGGCGUAAAGGGAACGCAGGCGGUCUUUUAAGUCUGAUGUGAAAGCCUUCGGCUUAACCGGAGUAGUGCAUUGGAAACUGGGAGACUUGAGUGCAGAAGAGGAGAGUGGAACUCCAUGUGUAGCGGUGAAAUGCGUAGAUAUAUGGAAGAACACCAGUGGCGAAAGCGACUCUCUGGUCUGUAACUGACGCUGAGGUUCGAAAGCGUGGGUAGCAAACAGGAUUAGAUACCCCAGUAGUC
rnacentral:rRNA from 1 species